GGCACAGUGGGGCAGUGGGUAGCACUUUGGCCUUCCAGGUAGAAGGUUGUCGGUUCGAAGCAACCGGUGACC